rnacentral:rRNA from 1 species
AUGUCCUCCCAGCUUGAGAUAUCCCAAGUUGUUCGAUCAGCUCAAGCUGCAGAAGAAGCUGAUGAGCACUAUGACCCAUUCAAAGAUCCUAAGAGGAGGCCAACAAAGAGCAAGGAUCCAGCAUGGAAAUAUGCAUUCUGGCCAGAUCUUAACAAGAGAUUGUUGCUGCAAUGUAAUUUGUGCGGCAAGAAAAUUACCUCUGGACCUUGUAGGAUGAAGAAACACCUUGCUGGGGGGUUUACAAUUGUGAGUAUGUGCACCAAAACAACCCCUGAAAUUCGAAAGGAGAUGCACGAGUACUUGAGGACUCACUCAUUCAGUUUCAAAAAUCUUGAUGGAGAUGAAGGUGGUGAAGAAGGUGGUGAAGAAGGUGCUGAACAAGAGAAGUGUGCAGCAAGUUCAAGAGCUUCCAACUCCAACUCCAACGCCUCCACCAAAAGGAAAUCAGAGGGGACUACUCAUUUGGCAACGACGGUGGCAAAGAAGCAAGGAAAGUCCAUUGCAGAUCAGAUUCGGAAGACACCGGAAGAGGUGGUUGCUGAGAGACAUAUGUUAAAGGGCACUCAAAAGACCAUGAAGGAUUACAGCAAGAAGACAAAGGAGCAAAAAGAUGAAGUAGAUGGUCAUGUAGCUGACUUUUUGUAUGAGAAUUGCCUUCCACUCAAUAUUGUUAAUUCAAGGAGUUGGGAGAUUCUAUUGGAGUCUAUAGGGCAGUAUGGCUCUGAUUAUAUAUCUCCUACUUAUCAUCAAGUGAGGGAACCAUUGCUUGAGAAGGCAAAGAUCAAGACCGACAACUUGAAAGGGAAGCAUGAAGUUGCAUGGAAAGAAUAUGGUUGCUCACUCAUGUCAGAUGGCUGGACGGACAUGACCGGGCGGCACUUGAUCAACUUCCUUGUCAAUAGUCCAGAAGGUACCUUCUUCUUAGGGACAGCCAAUGUUUCUUCUGAAACAGUUGAUGCAAAUCUGGUGGCAAAGCUGUUGAGCGAACAAAUUGAUGCAAUUGGCCCUGAAUUGGUAGUCCAAGUAGUUAGCGAUAAUGGGUCUAACUACAAGGCAGCCGGUAGACUUCUAAUGGAAAAGUAUCCUACAAUGUAUUGGACACCUUGUGCUGCCCACUGCUUGGAUCUUAUGCUAGAGGACAUUGGGAAGAUCAAAGAGUUCAGCCGUUGCAUUGCUAAAGCAAAGAGAACAACCAGAUUUAUUUAUGCCCAUGGAAAGGUUCUUGAUUUAAUGAGAAGCUUGAAUGGUAAGCAAGAAAUUGUGAGGCCUGGAGCAACUCGUUUUGCUACGUCAUUCCUUACUUUGGCAAGCAUGUGGAAGCAAAGGCAAACCUUGAAAACUCUCUUUGUUAGCCCACAAUGGUAUGCAAACAGAUUAAAGGACAGCGAAGGAGGGAAGGCGGCUGAAGCAACUGUGAUCUCCGUGUCAUUUUGGCAAUCGGUGGAGCAUUGCAUGAGAGCUUCACAACCACUUCUUAGAGCUUUGAGGAUCGCUGAUGGUGAUGAGACUCCGGCUAUGGCAGAAAUGUGGGCAGCCAUGGAUUUUGCAAAGACACACAUAAAGGAAGCUUUGGCACAUAAGCCAAACCUCCUAGGUCAAGUGGUAGCUAUUGUUGAUAAGAGGUGGGAUAAACAGAUGGAACAAAAGCUACAUGGGGCUGCUUUGUUCUUGAACCCAAAUAAAUUCUUUGCCAUUAAGGAGUCCAACAGAAGACAAGCUGCCCGUCUCCGUUCAAUGUUCAAUGAUGUGCUAUGGAAGAUGGUGCCUGAUGAUGAGCAGCAAGCAACUAUUAGUAGGGAAGCUGACGACUAUGAGCUGGGGAGUGAAUGUUUCUCGAAGCCAUUGUCAAUUAAAGACCGUGACAAAAAAAGCCCUCUUCUUUGGUGGAAUGCUUAUGGUGGCCUUGCUUUUGACCUCCAAACUCUUGCAAAGCGAAUCAUUAGUCUAUGUUGUUCAGCAUCUGGCUGCGAGCGCAAUUGGAGUGUAUUUGCUCAUGUAAGUAGCAGCAGCAUCUGGCUGGUUUGA